UGUCGGAUUAGUUUUUCCGUUAUGUCGCCGGAACUCCGCCGGAAUCAAUUUCUGCUUAAAAUACCCAUUUUUAAGCAAAGUCUCAACCUUUGGGCUGAAAACUAUCGCCUUAGCUUAGUGCUAGUAGGAUUAGUCGUCAUAAUCGUCGUUAGUAUCAACCCCAUCUAAUUUGUUUUUCGAAACUCUGAUUUUGAAAUUCUGAGCUGAAAAUAAUGACCAAAAUACCCCUGCGACAGUUUUCGAUUCGAUAUUUUUUCUGAGAGUUUCCUUGGCCUAGAUAUCGCCUAAGAAUACCUAGGAAUCGAUUUAGAUCGAAGAAAAAGUUCGGAAACCCUAUUUUACAUAGUGGCCGAAACCUAUUGCUUAGAGUACCGUGUCCAAAAAUAAUUUUUGGGUCUCUAUGACCUGAGCCAUUGCGUAGCUCUUCCGAUUGUCGAAAUUUUGGCGCUGGUUUCGUGUCAUUCCGAGUUCUGUAGCUCGAGUUAUGCUCGUUUUAGCGAACGAGGUUAUGUCGUCUAUUCAUGCUUAAAAAUUGUACUCUGAAGCUUCUUAAGCUUUGUCUAACGCUAGUUAGUGUUAUAUUGACCGAAUUGACUUGUUUUGAUUGACCUUCGCUUCGUUUGCUCAAAGAUUCGUUUGGAGGAACACUUGGAGCAGGAAAAGAGGAUUGUGAAGGAGCCUUGCUUGAACACACUGGACGAGUUCGAGACGUCCAACAGCUGAUUCAAGAUGGAUCGUCGUUCGGGGAGGAUCCGGAGCGCAAUGACUAUUACUGAGCCUUUGACGUGGACCCGGACUUCAUGCAUGAUCGGAUGAGGGUCGAUGUUAGGAGUGUAUUAUAUGGGGGGAUUGUUUUCACAGCUCUGAUUGUCAUUUCCCGUUUUGGGGCUGACUUAUCUCCUUGAAAACUGUAUUCAUAAAACUCAUGGCUCUGACCAUGGGAUGCACUUAUUCGCCUGCGGGCACUAUCCCCAAUUACUUUAUGUUUAUUA